UACGAAGGGGGCUAGCGUUGUUCGGCAUUACUGGGCGUAAAGCGUGCGCAGGCGGCUUCUCAAGUCAGGGGUGAAAGCCCAGAGCUCAACUCUGGAAUUGCCUUUGAGACUGAGUGGCUUGAGUACGAGAGAGGUGAGUGGAAUUCCCAGUGUAGAGGUGAAAUUCGUAGAUAUUGGGAAGAACACCGGUGGCGAAGGCGGCUCACUGGCUCGUAACUGACGCUCAUGCACGACAGCGUGGGGAUCAAACAGG
rnacentral:rRNA from 1 species